rnacentral:rRNA from 1 species
CAGCAGCCGCGGUAAGACAGAGGAUGCAAGCGUUAUCCGGAAUGAUUGGGCGUAAAGGGUGCGUAGGCGGUUUGGCAAGUCUUGUGUGAAAUCUUCGGGCUCAACCCGAAGCCUGCACGAGAAACUGCCGGGCUUGAGUAUUGGAGAGGUGAGUGGAAUUUCCGGUGUAGCGGUGAAAUGCGUAGAUAUCGGAAGGAACACCUGUGGCGAAAGCGGCUCACUGGACAAUAACUGACGCUGAUGCACGAAAGCUAGGGGAGCAAAUGGGAUUAGAUACCCGCGUAGUCCCUGUCUCUUAUAC